ACCUGUCCCCGGGACCCCAGGGUGCCAAAGAAGGAGAAAGGGAACACGAGCUGGGAGGACGCAUCAACAGGUGGCGAAGGUGCGGCUGGCGGGGGAACGGGUAGGAUGAAGGGCAAAGGGGACGGGCGCGGGGAGGCGCUGCCCUCUCCGACCACCCGCCCCCCACCCCACAGCCGGCUGCCAAAGAGCCGUGCCACCUCCCCCUGUGCGUCGCGGGUGAGGGGCUGACUGUGCCCAGCCAAGGCGCUGGGCCUCUGCCAGCGCAAGGGGAGGUCGCGGCCCCGACAGCCAAUAGCUAGGAGCAAGGCGGGGGGGAGGAGCUGCAAAACGGCUGUGUUUGCGCGGCGACGCCCAGCUCCCUGCGGGGAAAGCACAAAACCUCUGGUGCCAGGGCAUCAGGAUGCCCCUCCUUUGGGAACGAAAUGUGUGCUAUGCCAGCCCUCCUCCCUGCCCUCCCGCUGCUCCUGCCACUGAUCUAUUUGUAGCGGCAAGCGCCCAGGAGGACCUACUCGGGGCAGGCAACGCGGCUCCAGCAAAUCCCUGCAUCAGGCAGUCGCUGGAGAACAGGCCGGAGCGGUCCCUUUCGCAGAUGCCUUUUAAACUCACGAUGGUUGGUUAGCUCCAUGCCUGGGUGAACUUUGCCCCACCAUGCACACACCCACACAACCUUCCCACUUGUAGCCAGACAAGUCCAGAUUUUAUUGCACACUAGCAAUAGCCAAUAUUUGUAUUAUGUUUCACUAGGAAGUGUUCCCCGUACGUUAUAUCCUGGCUAUCUGUUGAGUGGGGAGGCGACAGUAUUAUUUAUUUGUGCGGCUAGGGGCCAUCGUGUGCUGGGUGUCAUGGAUAUAGCAGUGAAGGAAGCUGACGAGCACCUCCCCUUGUGGAGCUUGUGUCCUCAUGAGGACCUUCAGGCUCAAAGAUGUCACCUGAUGUACUCCGGAUCCCAGGCUGUCAAGGACUAAGAGUCCAAACGUAGGUGUGUUGGCUUCUUUUCCCACUUGCACCGCAGUGGUCUGCCAUAAAUCCAGCUCAACCAGGCAAGCUGGAAAGACCCGGGAACGGUCGUUUUGAACGAGGACAAAGGAAGCUGUGCAGGGUUCAACAGAGUGGUGUGCACAUCCAGCAGACACAGAGAAGUGAUAUUCUGGGGUUCUUGGGGUUCCCAAGGUUUUAGGGAGACAAAACUUGUUUUUCAUGCAUGUGUUGAUAGUUGUCGCUGAGCAAAUGCUCCAGCCAGGCCCCCACAGGUAGAAAGGGGAAGGAAGUGCAGGAAUUUCUCAUGGGAGGGUCCUGGCUGGAAAUGGCUCCAUACAUGCUGCCCCCUGGGGAACUGUGGGUUCCUGUUUGCCGUGAAGACCUUGUCACUCACCCAGCAUAGGAGAAACUUCCACAAAGGACACCCCCUGCGCCGCCCCCAGCUGCAGGAAAUCUCUCCCUCCCUUCUUACCUCCUUCAGUGUUGAUGGAGCGUAGGCAACACAGCAGAACAGAGACGGCCGUCUGUGCAGGGCCUGAGCAGAAGUCUGUAACUUCAGGGACAAAUCAGCGCUCUCGCAAACACGUCUGAGCCCCACCUGGUUCCCCUUGGAGCCUUCGUCAAUCCUGGAGCAUUUGGGGGCACAUGUAUCUCAGUUUGUAGCUUCCAUUUAUCUGGUGCUGAUGCUGUUCCAGGGCCCGUUUCAUGUUUUCUAAUCUUGAGGAUGUUCGGAGAAAUAAUUAUUAUGGCGCCCACAUUACAAUGGGGAGGCAGAGGCACAGAGAGGCGCCCACUGCACCAGGUCACAUAGAUUGUGGGGCCCAGGAUAGGAGGUGGGUCUCUGGAGCCCAUGACUGCCCCGCUGAGCCACUCGGGGAUACCCCAACCUGUCCAGUCCCACCAGCGCAGCCGAGACUCUCCCUCGGCCUCCCAGGGAGAAUCAGGAAGUGGGGACAUUCAGAGGAGGGGGUGGUGACCUGAAGUGAUAGGGGUCUGCCCCCAAUACUAGGCAGCAGGUUACACCCCAAACGUGUAAGCAGGUAGGGUCAGCUGUCUGUGUUCAGAGAGAAUGUGAGACCCAACUGCUGGCCCCAGCCUGUGCCGGGGGAAGCUUCCCCCAGGGGUCUAGGGGUCCGGGCGGCGGAGUCUGUCUGUUUGCCCUACAACUCAGCCAAGCCCUCUUCCAGGGCCUGUCCAGGGCCUCUGCGGGUCACUUGCUUGCCCUUUGCUGAUCCACAAAGCUUCCUGAUGAGAUGGAAUCUGUGCUUCCUGAGUGUUGUCAGCCAGGGCAGUGGCCUCUGAUCUCCUGGAAGCGUGCCUUCAGGUCAGGUGGUGGAAGUUGUCGGGGCGGGGGGAGGCAAAUUGAGAAAGGGAGAGUUCACUGUCGGAAGGACAGAGCCGCUCCGUGGCCCGCAGCAGGACAUCGGUGGGGACCAGCCAUGGUCAUGUGCAUGGCUGCCGUCUUAGUGAUGACAGCAAAACCUCAUGGGUCCAGGUAAUGUAGUCUUGUCACUUUAAGGCACAGAACUCGCAACAGUCCUGCAAGGCAACUAGGUUCGUCCUCGUUUUACAGAUGAGGAAACUGAGAACCAGGGACGACGUCACUUCGCUGAGGUCUCCAAGAGAGAGCAAGAACCGGCUCUCAGAGUCCAAACCCACUCUACCAUCCACACCUGCCCCGGGGUACCCCCAGGGGUUGGCUGUCUGGUUCAGAAACCUGUGCUCUCCUGGCCUGAUACCCGGGCUGUCUCUGGCAGAUCCAGGAGCACGGUUUUAAGGAUCAGUCUCGGUCCCAGAGCUCCAGAGAGGCAGCUGUGACACAGUGGCAGUGGCAGGAGAGAGGGGCCAUAUUCAAGGGGAGAGAGAGUGGAAAUGGUACAAGACGGACAGAGGGUGAGUGUGGAGCUUCAGGACCCCCGUGACCUGGUGAAGAGAGUCUGGCCGUAAAGCAUGAUGGAUAGACGAAUUCGGUUGAUCGGGGACGUUCCGCUCUGCUGGAGAUGGAGAUCUGACCCAGGAGGGGUCCCACCCGGGACCUGCACUGUUGUGGGUGGGCGAGGUCUGGGGGACUGAGACGGGACCCUGUGUGUUGAUGCCCAAAUGCACAAUAAAGGCAGGUGGAUAUGCACGUCACUGCCUCUGCCUGGGGCAUCCCCGUUUCCCUCCUGAGGUCAACAGAUAGAACCUGGGGUUUGGAGUCGCACAGACCUGGAUUCCAAACCAUGCUCUACCUUCUACUCAUAACACAGCCUUGGCCACACGACUUGCCCAUCUCUAAAAGGGGCAGCAAUGCUUGCCUCCAUAGACUCUGGGGUGAGAAUUAGGAGGCUGCCUGAGGGAAGCGCAGGGUCAGGACCUGAAAGAUGGGUCAGAUUUGAGACUUGGUGAUCACCUACCAGAGGCCUCUACCAAGGAUCACCUCCUCCAGGAAGCCUGCUUGGCAUCCAUCCCACCAGCAAAGCUGCCCUCUUCCCUGGGUCGCAGCUGCCUCCCAUGUGGCUUUUGUCUAGUUCAGCGCUGCCUUUCUGGUGCCUAGUCCUGUCUUGCCACUCGAAAUGGCGGACGUUGAUUGAGCCCUCGAACCUCCCUGACACCCGGCCAGGUGCCUGUGUGUUGCUCCCUCACGUGAUCCUCAGAUCUAGCCUGGUAUCUGCCUUUCAUAGAAGAGUCCUGUCAGCCGUGGAGGCAGCGUGAACUUGAGCCCGAGCAGCCUGCCAGCCCCCAGCCCCCGGCUGCGGCUCCAGGAGAGAGCUCUGUGCCAGCUGGGCCAGCCUCACCCAGUUCUUCAGUCCGGGAGCCUAGCACCGGGCCUGGCACACAGGAGCCUCCGUGAGUGUGCGAGGCUGUUCUGUUGGCACCUGCUGCCUUGGUCAUCACUGACUAGAGGAGGUGGCCCAUGGUGCCCAGCCCCCUGAAGGGACAGACCAUGUCUGACAGAAUGUUCCCAGUCUGCAGCAAAAUGGAGAAGAAAAGCCAGGACAUUGCAGAGAGAUUGUAAAGCUUCAUCUAGUUGAUGUCAAGAAAUACCCCUUUUCUCCCUGAGAGCGUCCUUUACAUUCUUGCAUUGUUAUUCAAAAUGCUUUUUCUGAAUAAAAAUGUCUUAGAUGAA